GACUGACUGGAGCAGCAGCAGCAGGAGCUGAUGAUGAUGAUGAUGAUGAUGAUGACAUGAUGACUGGAGGCGAGCGGAUUUACGGACGAGCCAGUGCCACCUAAUGACUCCAACAAUUUGGUGAGGUGGGCAUACACACUGGCAUUGGCACCGGCGAGCCGCUUCAGUCCAGGUACAGAGCCAUGCCACCAAAAGAAGCCAUGCUGACACCUGCAUCUUCAGCUUAAAGCUCCUCUCCUCUGGCUCGGCACCCUUCACUACACCAUCCCAAAUGCGGUUAAGACCGAUCCACCCUUCUCCCCACAGUCCUUUUGGUGCUAAAUUAUCAGGAGAUUGUUAUAAAGAAUGUUUUUUUCUUUAUAUUCCACCAAUGCUUUGUAUUUACUUUGCCUCCCUCUUUUAUUUAGCACUCCCUCCACUCUCUCCCUCCUCUUUCUUGCCUCACUUUUCUCUUUUUGGAAAGAAGUUGGUGGAAACUGAUUGAAAAACAAGUUUCAGGCUCCAUGCUGGGAGCGCAGGAGAGGAGGAGAGGAAUGGGGACUGUCUCCUCUAACAACAUCUGUGUAAUUCGUUCUGCACGUCCCGAAGACAGAAAACAAGGCCCGGGAGUGAACGUGGAGGGGACUGAAGGGGAUCUCCCAUACCGAAAGGGAUCAGUUCCAUGAAUCAAGUGUCUGCUAUUCGACUGAUCAAAUCCUUCAGAAUAACAAACACUUUUGCCCUUUAAAACAUCAAAUGGCUGAAAAUGCAUUGCCUGACUGCUACUGGUCUUUACCACAAAAGGAAGAGUAGACACCCUUCAUUUCUGCAUCAAGCUACUCUCUCAAAAGCAUGAGAGAGGGAGUGUUUUCAAACAAAACAGAACUUCUCCAAUGGCUUUAGCUGCUUGUCGGCCAUGAGAAGGAUGGCUUUUGUCUUGGGGUGGGAUUCACACUUUCACAACACAAUUUCUUGUUUUACACUGAGAGGAGAGGAGAGUGGACCGAAUCACUUAUGUAACUGGAACGUUCUCAUUUGUCGAAGUGAAGACAUUUCGCUCGAAGUGGAGAUCAUUUAAAUUUUCACCCUUAAACAUUUCAAUUAUCAGUCAACAGAAACCUGGUUGAAUUUGAUUACUGAGGAGGAAAAACACAGGGCUUUUCUUUUCUUUUCUUCUUUUUUGGUUCUUAUACGUACAAAGUUUUUUCACCGUUCACAAAGCAAAAAGCAGAAAGGGAGAAAUUUGUACCUUUUGCUUGCACAGUAUGUGUCCCACUCAUCACAGAGGCUGAAUUAAAUGGGACCGAGAAAGCAA